rnacentral:rRNA from 1 species
CUACGGGUUGCAGCAGUGAGGAAUAUUGCGCAAUGGGGGAAACCCUGACGCAGCGACGCCGCGUGGAUGAUGAAGGCCUUCGGGUCGUAAAAUCCUGUCAGAAGGAAAGAAGUGUAUGGUAGCUAAUAUCUGCCAUACUUGACGGUACCUUCAAAGGAAGCACCGGCUAACUCCGUGCCAGCAGCCGCGGUAAUACGGAGGGUGCAAGCGUUGUUCGGAAUUACUGGGCGUAAAGCGCGCGUAGGCGGUUUUAUAAGUCAGAUGUGAAAGUCCACGGCUCAACCAUGGAAGUGCAUUUGAAACUGUAAGACUUGAGUAUUGGAGGGGGUAGUGGAAUUCCCGGUGUAGAGGUGAAAUUCGUAGAUAUCGGGAGGAAUACCGGUGGCGAAGGCGACUAUCUGGCCAAAUACUGACGCUGAGGUGCGAAAGCAUGGGGAGCAAACAGGAUUAGAUACCCUUGUAGUC